rnacentral:misc_RNA from 1 species
GAUGAAGAACGUAGCGAAAUGCGAUAAGUAAUGUGAAUUGCAGAAUUCAGUGAAUCAUCGAAUCUUUGAACGCACCUUGCGCCCUUUGGCUAUUCCGAAGGGCAUGCCUGUUUGAGUAUCAUGAACACCUCAACUCUCAUGGUUUGCCAUGAAGAGCUUGGACUCUGGGGGUCUUGCUGGCCUAUGGUCAGCUCCUCUCAAAUAAAUCAGCUUGCCAGUGUUUGGUGGCAUCACAGGUGUGAUAACUAUCUACGCUUGUGGUUUUCCAUCAGGUAACCUUCAGUGAUGGAGGUUCGCUGGAGCUCAUAAAUGUCCCUCCUCAGCGAGGACAGCUUUUUGAACGUUUGAUCUCAAAUCAGGUAGGACUACCCGCUGAACUUAAGCAUAUCAAUAAGCGGAGGA